UGGUGUCACAAGGGUUUUGUAGAUCUCGCGUUCUAACCUGGAGUCUGUGCCAGUUCUGGGUAAUCGGUUUCAGAAACACACAACAGGCACACAUCGGUCAUCCCAGUUACUCAGAAGACUGGAGCAGGAGGAUGGCUCUGGUCUAGGAGCAGGGGGAAGGCCCUUGAAGGUAUUUCAGGAACCAGAACAUGGACGCGAGGAGACUUCUGGAACACAUGAUCCUAUAGACGUUCUCUCACUUAUCUCCAAUAAGUGGAAGUUGGGUGAAGGCUUUUUCUCACCCUCCCAGCCUGUAGCUCAGUCACAGCAGAAAGAGCAGAGCCCUCCCACCCCCCCAUCCCACCCCCACACCCAUCCUGCCCUCAUGCAUACUGCAGCUCAGAGCUAAUCACAGAGAGCUUCAUGAUACUGCAGCCGAGUUCACUAGAUGACAAUUCCCGUUCAGAUUCUGGCGCUACACCUGCUUCCUGAAUAACCUUUUAGGAAAAAAAUUCACUUAACCUCUUGGUGAAUCCAGAAUCCAUUUUUCUGGAUGCAGAGAGCAGUUAUAAAAUAUAGGAAUAGCAGUGUGUGGUGGGGGGAGGAGUGG